rnacentral:rRNA from 1 species
UACAGAGGGGGCAAGCGUUAUUCGGAGUUAUUGGGCGUAAAGGCGCGUAGGCGGCCUGGCAAGUGGAAGGUGAAAUCCCUCGGCUUAACCGAGGAACUGCCUCCCAAACUGCUUGGCUUGAGACCAGGAGAGGUGAGUGGAAUUCCCAGUGUAGCGGUGAAAUGCGUAGAUAUUGGGAGGAACACCAGUGGCGAAGGCGGCUCACUGGACUGGUACUGACGCUGAGGCGCGAAAAGCGUGGGGAGCAAACGGGAUUAGAAAACCCC